UUGACAAUUAGGGGGAUUACGAAGAGAUUGUAUUACGUGCGGUCAAAAAAUAUAGCAAGAAAAUAUUUUAUUUAUUUUCGUACGUAAUAUUAAAGUAUUUUAUUUAUUUUUAUAUAUAAUAUUGCAUUUUGCAUAUCAUGAUGAGUCGGUUACGAUAUAUUUUUUUUGUAGUUCAAUUGAAAAACACAAAAAUAUAUUUCUAUACACUUUUGUCCCAAUUUUAUUUUAUCUAAUAAUGUUAGAUAGAUAUAUAUCAAACUAAGAGAAAUUAAAAAACAA
rnacentral:lncRNA from 1 species